GGCUGGAUAGCUCAGUUGGUAGAGCACCGGAGCAGUAAUCCUGAGGUCACAGGUUCAAGCCCUACUCCAGUCA